GUCGAGCGAGAACUAGUCCUUCGGGACUAGGGACAGCGGCGAACGGGUAAGUAACACGUGAGUAAUCCACCCUCGGUACCGGAAUAGCCCGGGGAAACUCGGAUUAAUGCCGGAUGGCCCAUUUGCUCUUCGGAGCUGAAUGGAAAAGAUAGCUUUGGCCUUCGACCGGGGACGAGCUCGCGGCGGAUUAGCUUGUUGGCGGGGUAACGGCCCACCAAGGCGACGAUCCGUAGCUGGUCUGAGAGGACGAUCGGCCACACUGGGACUGAGACACGGCCCAGACUCCUACGGGAGGCAGCAGUGGGGAAUCUUGCGCAAUGGGCGAAAGCCUGACGCAGCGACGCCGCGUGAGGGAAGAAGGCCUUCGGGUUGUAAACCUCUUUCAGGAGGGACGAAGCCACUCGGGUUAAUAGCCCAGAGGGUGACGGUACCUCCAGAAGAAGCCCCGGCUAACUACGUGCCAGCAGCCGCGGUAAUACGUAGGGGGCAAGCGUUGUCCGGAUUUAUUGGGCGUAAAGAGCGUGUAGGCGGCUUCACAAGUCCGCUGUGAAAACUCGAGGCUCAACCUCGAGCUGUCGGUGGAAACUGUGUGGCUAGAGUCCGGAAGAGGAGAGUGGAAUUCCCGGUGUAGCGGUGAAAUGCGCAGAUAUCGGGAAGAACACCCGUGGCGAAGGCGGCUCUCUGGGACGGUACUGACGCUGAGACGCGAAAGCGUGGGGAGCGAACAGGAUUAGAUACCCUGGUAGUCCACGCCGUAAACGAUGGGUGCUA
rnacentral:rRNA from 1 species